rnacentral:rRNA from 1 species
UAGGGAAUCUUCGGCAAUGGGGGCAACCCUGACCGAGCAACGCCGCGUGAGUGAAGAAGGUUUUCGGAUCGUAAAGCUCUGUUGUAAGAGAAGAACGUGUGUGAGAGUGGAAAGUUCACACAGUGACGGUAACUUACCAGAAAGGGACGGCUAACUACGUGCCAGCAGCCGCGGUAAUACGUAGGUCCCGAGCGUUGUCCGGAUUUAUUGGGCGUAAAGCGAGCGCAGGCGGUUUAAUAAGUCUGAAGUUAAAGGCAGUGGCUUAACCAUUGUUCGCUUUGGAAACUGUUAGACUUGAGUGCAGAAGGGGAGAGUGGAAUUCCAUGUGUAGCGGUGAAAUGCGUAGAUAUAUGGAGGAACACCGGUGGCGAAAGCGGCUCUCUGGUCUGUAACUGACGCUGAGGCUCGAAAGCGUGGGGAGCAAACAGGAUUAGAUACCCUGGUAGUCCACGCCGUAAACGAUGAGUGCUAGGUGUUAGGCCCUUUCCGGGGCUUAGUGCCGCAGCUAACGCAUUAAGCACUCCGCCUGGGGAGUACGACCGCAAGGUUG